rnacentral:tRNA from 1 species
GAAAUAUGAAGUUCAAGAAGAAGCUGCUAACUUCUAUCUUUAGUGGUUUAAAUCCAUUAAUAUUUCA